rnacentral:rRNA from 1 species
AUUGCACGCUGGCGGCAGGCCUUACACAUGCAAGUCGAACGAGUGGCGGACGGGUGAGUAAUGUCUGGGAAACUGCCUGGUGGAGGGGGAUAACUCCUGGAAACGGUAGCUAAUACCGCAUACCCUCAGAUGUGCCCAGAUGGGAUUAGCGUGUUGGUGGGGUAACGGCUCACCAAGGCGACGAUCCCUAGCUGGUCUGAGAGGAUGACCGGCCACACUGGAGCUGAUACACGGUCCAGACUCCUACGUGAGGCAGCAGUGGGGAAUAUUGCACAAGGGGCGAAAGCCUGAUGCAGCCAUGCCGCGUGUAUGAAGAAGGCCUUCGGGUUGGAAAGUACUUUAAGCGGGGAGGCGUUACCCGCAGAAGAAGCACCGGCUAACUCCGGGCCAGCAGCCGCGGUAAUUC